rnacentral:rRNA from 1 species
AGGGGACGAGCGGCGGCCUACACAUGCAGUCGGGCGGUAACAGGAAAGCGCUUGCGCUUUUGCUGACGAGCGGCGGACGGGUGAGUAAUGUCUGGGGAUCUGCCCGAGGGCGGGGGAUAACCACUGGAAACGGUGGCUAAUACCGCAUAAUGUCGCGAGACCAAAGUGGGGGACCUGAAAGGGCCUCACGCCGUCGGAUGAACCCAGAUGGGAUUAGCUGGUAGGUAGGGUAAUGGCCUACCUAGGCGACGAUCCCUAGCUGGUCUGAGAGGAUGACCAGCCACACUGGGACUGAGACACGGCCCAGACUCCUACGGGAGGCAGCAGUGGGGAAUAUUGCACAAUGGGCGCAAGCCUGAUGCAGCCAUGCCGCGUGUAUGAAGAAGGCCUUCGGGUUGUAAAGUACUUUCAGCGGGGAGGAAGGGUUGAGCCUGAACAGGGCUGGGCCUUGACGUUACCCGCAGAAGAAGCACCGGCUAACUCCGUGCCAGCAGCCGCGGUAAUACGGAGGGUGCGAGCGUUAAUCGGAAUGACUGGGCGUAAAGCGCACGCAGGCGGUCAAUUAAGUUAGAUGUGAAAUCCCCGGGCUCAACCUGGGAACGGCAUCUAAGACUGGUUGACUGGAGUCUCGUAGAGGGGGGUAGAAUUCCAUGUGUAGCGGUGAAAUGCGUAGAGAUGUGGAGGAAUACCGGUGGCGAAGGCGGCCCCCUGGACGAAGACUGACGCUCAGGUGCGAAAGCGUGGGGAGCAAACAGGAUUAGAUACCCUGGUAGUCCACGCUGUAAACGAUGUCGAUUUGGAGGUUGUGGCCCUGAGCUGUGGCUUCCGAAGCUAACGCGUUAAAUCGACCGCCUGGGGAGUACGGCCGCAAGGUUAAAACUCAAUGAAUUGACGGGGGCCCGCACAAGCGGUGGAGCAUGUGGUUUUAAUUCGAUGCAACGCAAAGAACCUUACCCUACUCUUG